rnacentral:rRNA from 1 species
AUUGAACGCUGGCGGCAGGCCUAACACAUGCAAGUCGAGCGGAUGACGGGAGCCUGCUCCUUGAUUCAGCGGCGGACGGGUGAGUAAUGCCUAGGAAUCUGCCUGGUAGUGGGGGACAACGUUUCGAAAGGAACGCUAAUACCGCAUACGUCCUACGGGAGAAAGCAGGGGACCUUCGGGCCUUGCGCUAUCAGAUGAGCCUAGGUCGGAUUAGCUAGUUGGUGGGGUAAUGGCUCACCAAGGCGACGAUCCGUAACUGGUCUGAGAGGAUGAUCAGUCACACUGGAACUGAGACACGGUCCAGACUCCUACGGGAGGCAGCAGUGGGGAAUAUUGCACAAUGGGCGCAAGCCUGAUGCAGCCAUGCCGCGUGUAUGAAGAAGGCCUUCGGGUUGUAAAGUACUUUCAGCGGGGAGGAAGGCGAUGUGGUUAAUAACCGCGUCGAUUGACGUUACCCGCAGAAGAAGCACCGGCUAACUCCGUGCCAGCAGCCGCAGUAA